CAUAGAAUCAUAGAAUACUGUAGAAGCCUUUCUUGUUAUUCUUUGCAUCCCUUGCCAAGUUCAGCUCCAGCCAUGCCUUGGCCUUCCUGACCCCAUCUCUGCACUAC